GGACCUCACUUUCUGACUUUCUCCUUGGGGAGCCAGCCCGGAGUACAGAAUGCUGCUAGUGGAAGCAGUCAUCUUCUCCUCCCUCUGGGCUUUUGGCUUUGGGCAGUUAACGUUGAAGCAGCCUGCAAUAUCAGUUUCCAGAGCAAAAGAUAAGAGUGCCCACAUACCUUGUAAGAUGUCUGCCGAAAACCCUUACACAGACUACAUUCACUGGUACCGGCAGAAACCAGACCAGAGCAUAGAACAUUUAUUGCAUGUUGACUCAACAAACAGUGUUAAAAAAAACCUAGGUGGGAAUAAAGUCAAACUUCAGGCAGAUAAAGUAGAUCGCACUUCCACUUCCACCUUGACAAUAAACUUCUUAGCGAAAGAAGAUGAGGCCGUGUACUACUGUGCCUGCUGGACUGGUGUCCACAACAUUAGAGCCACCAAGACAACCUACACAAGAACCAUCUCUAGGUCUGUGCCCACCCACAUCCUUCUCCGUUGGGGAAACCACAGAGGCUGCACAGCUGGGCACCCAGCCUAA